rnacentral:rRNA from 1 species
UACGUAGGAGGCAAGCGUUGUCCGGAUUUACUGGGCGUAAAGAGCGUGUAGGCGGUGCGUUAAGUCUGCCGUGAAAGUGCACGGCUUAACCGUGCGAGGUCGGUGGAAACUGGCGCACUUGAGGACGGUAGAGGGGGGUGGAAUUCCCGGUGUAGUGGUGAAAUGCGUAGAUAUCGGGAGGAACACCAGCGGCGAAGGCGGCCCCCUGGGCCGCUCCUGACGCUGAGACGCGAAGGCCAGGGUAGCGAACGGG